ACAGUAGUGGCAGCAGAGCAGUCGCCGCCUCCACAUGCUACACCGCCUACGCAUCCGGCGUCCCCCGCCACCGCCACACUCGUUUGUCUCCGAAGCUAUGUAAGCGGCGUGCGAGCGGCAGAUCACGCAGGGCCGCGAGCACACCGUGGCGCCAUCCUCUCCACAUGCCUGCUUGCCAGCGGCAGCGUCGCGCACGAAGAAAAACUCAACAGUCUAAAGGACCAGCUCAGGGGACUGGAGGCAGGUCUGGUAGAAGCUCUAUCCAUCCAACUGAAGAAAGAAUCGGAAUGUAAGCUCACCAGUGACUAUCUUGAAUGCCACUGCAACGAACGAGCAGCUCAGGAGCCUGGUCUUGGGAACAGAGGGGAGAGAUGAGUUUGCAAAUGUCAUAUCUCAUCAGCUCCAAGGUGAUAUUGGAGGUGGUGGCGACGUUCCUGCUGGUAUUCGUGAUGUGCGGGGUGGCGUCCAUCUACGGCGCCGAUGUGACACGCGUAUCCCAGCUCGGCCACUCCGUCGUCGGCGGCCUCAUCGUCACCGCAGUGAUCUACGCCACCGGCCACAUCUCCGGCGCGAACAUGAACACCGCUGUCACGCCCUCCGUCUCCUUCUUCCGGCAUUUCCCCUGGAUUCAGGGAAGAGUUAUUCCUUGUGAUUUUAUUGGUGUCAUAAAAGCCAGCAACCUGUUUACUUGAAAGGGGAAAUUGUUAGCGAUCGUGAUGAGCUGACGUCCAAUUUCUUUGCUCAGCCUCAUGCUCUUGCUUAUGGAAGACUCUGGAACAAUUACACAGCCAGAACGUUUCUGAAAGUCUUAUCCCUCAUAAGACUUUCAAAGGCAACCGACCAUCACUGAGUUUCUUGCUGUCCUCUACAUAUGAGAUUGAACAGAUGAUGGUUGUCAUUCAUGUUUCGUCGGGAGCUCUAGGACGAAGAAGUUGGAAGAAGCAAGGCAUGCAGGAUCUAGUCAUGCAUGCACACUCUUGUAUCUCUGCUUCUGCACCUAGGGAGAUGCAGGACUUUGUUGUAAUGUUGUCCUUGGAAUUUGGAUGUACUAAUGAUUUUCCUGAGAAUUUGAUGUAUAUGUGCUUGCUAACUUGUUACUCAAAUGCUGGGAGU